AUUGAACGCUGGCGGCAGGCUUAACACAUGCAAGUCGAACGAGUGGCGGACGGGUGAGUAAUGCAUGGGAACCUAGCUUAUGGAGGGGGAUAACUACGGGAAACUGUAGCUAAUACCGCAUACCAUAGGAGGAGCCCAUGUGGGAUUAGCUGGUGGGGGGGGUAAAGGCCCACCAAGCCGACGAUCCCUAGCGGGUCUGAGAGGAUGACCAGCCACACUGGGACUGAGACACGGCCCAGACUCCUACGGGAGGCAGCAGUGGGGAAUAUUGGACAAUGGGGGCAACCUGACGCAGCCAUGCCGCGUGAAUGAAGAAGGCCUUCGGGUUGUAAAGUUCGUUCGGUAGGGAGGCGGUAACUAAAGAAGAAGCACCGGCUAACUACGUGCCAGCAGCCGCGGUAAUAC
rnacentral:rRNA from 1 species